UCGUGGUUAGCAGAGUUGGUAGGGGGCUCCACUAGAAAUUGAGAGGUCCCUGGUUCGACACCAGGACCAGGCG
rnacentral:tRNA from 1 species